UCUGAGAGGAUCAGGAAGGCUGCUCUUCCAGGAAGGGCUGCAGGGACCCUGGGAACCGGACCAGUCCAUCUCACAAGUAUGAAGAGAAUGUCGGGAGAGGAAGUGGUGGCUAUGAGUCAGCAUGAGUCAUCUCGUUCCAAUGAGAAUGAAGGCUGAGGUGUGCGCCUUUUUUUUUUCCUUCUUAGUCGUGUGUACAUCAUUGGGAAUGGAGGGAAAUAAAUGACUGGAUGGUCGCUGCUUUUUAAGUUUCAAAUUGACAUUCUAGGCAAGCGGUGCCUGAGCCCGUGCCUGUCUUCAGAUCUUCGCAGCACAGUUCCUGGGAAGGUGGAGCCACCAGCCUCUCCCUGACAAGCAAAGUGGAUCAACAAAGGCCGCAGUCACCGGCAUCUUUUCCAUCCUUCAUUAACUGCAUCCUCAAAAGAACACUAUCAGACUGGCUCUGCUGACUUCCAGUUCUGGAACAAGGUGGUUAAACUCAUUUUUCCCUGCUCUGCUCCUCUAAAUACAACUAAGUACCUUGGAAACUAUUCAGCAGACAAUGAUAAAGGGCUCUGAAAGCUAGAAGAAAAGAAGGUGUACUUGCAAGAAACCUCAGGACUUGAGAAACAGCAACGUGGCAGGCCAGAAAGGAGACCCAGGGAGGACAGCCCAUGUCUUCGGCUACACUGGUGAAGGCAUCAUGCCUGCUCCACACCACAUUUUUAUUCAAGUCUUGGACGAGCCUGAGGAUGACUACAAGUGGAAGAAAAGAAGCCACUGGAGCAGAAGGUGGGGAGGAUAAAAUUUGGAGCAAGAUUCUCAAGGAAGCAACAAGAUCCUAA